UACGAAGGGGGCUAGCGUUGCUCGGAAUCACUGGGCGUAAAGGGUGCGUAGGCGGGUCUUUAAGUCAGGGGGGAAAUCCUGGAGCUCAACUCCAGAACUGCCUUUGAUACUGAAGAUCUUGAGUUCGGGAGAGGUGAGUGGAACUGCGAGUGUAGAGGUGAAAUUCGUAGAUAUUCGCAAGAACACCAGUGGCGAAGGCGGCUGACUGGUCCGGUUCUGACGCUGAGGCGCGAAAGCGUGGGGAGCAAACAGG
rnacentral:rRNA from 1 species